rnacentral:rRNA from 1 species
CUUUCUUUGCUGGCGACCGGCGCACGGGUGAGUAACACGUAUCCAACCUGCCCUUUACUCGGGGAUAGCCUUUCGAAAGAAAGAUUAAUACCCGAUAGUAUAAUGAUUCCGCAUGGUUUCAUUAUUAAAGGAUUCCGGUAAAGGAUGGGGAUGCGUCCCAUUAGGUUGUUGGUGAGGUAACGGCUCACCAAGCCUUCGAUGGAUAGGGGUUCUGAGAGGAAGGUCCCCCACAUUGGAACUGAGACACGGUCCAA